rnacentral:rRNA from 1 species
GGGGGGGGGGGGGGGGGGGGGGGGGGGGGGGGGGGGGAGCGAACGGGUGGGGGGCGGGCUCCGCUGGCGUUGGCGGCGGGCGGGUGAGUAACACGUGGAUAACCUACCUAUAAGACUGGGAUAACUUCGGGAAACCGGAGCUAAUACCGGAUAAUAUAUUGAACCGCAUGGUUCAAUAGGGAACGACGGUUUGGCUGUCACUUACAGAUGGAUCCGCGCCGCAUUAGCUAGUUGGUAAGGUAACGGCUUACCAAGGCAACGAUGCGUAGCCGACCUGAGGGGGUGAUCGGCCACACUGGAACUGAGACACGGUCCAGACUCCUACGGGAGGCAGCAGUAGGGAAUCUUCCGCAAUGGGCGAAAGCCUGACGGAGCAACGCCGCGUGAGUGAUGAAGGUCUUCGGAUCGUAAAACUCUGUUAUUAGGGAAGAACAAAUGUGUAAGUAACUAUGCACGUCUUGACGGUACCUAAUCGGAAAGCCACGGCUAACUACGUG